rnacentral:lncRNA from 1 species
CGGAGCGGAGCGGCUGCGCGCAAAACCCGGAGCGGAGCGAAGCGGAGCGGAACCGCCGGAACGGAGCGGGGCGGCCGCCGCCAAAACGCGGAACGGAGCCGAACGGAGCGGGGCGAAAAUGUCCGCAAAUGGGAUGAAAAGGUCCGCGUGUGGGGCGAAACGUCCACGUCUGGGGCAAAAACGGCCUCAUCUGGGGGGAAACGGGGCCAUCGGGGGGGAAAACGGCCACAGUGGGGGGAAAAAAUGCCCACAUGUGGGGCAGAAAGGUCACAUGUGGGGCAGGUUUGUCUCUAUUUGGGGCGAAAAGUCCCAGUUUGGGGUGGGAAGGGAAUAAAGGUAAUGGGGGCACCGCGAACGUUGGGACAUUGGGGCGGGGGGGGGGGAAGGGGGUCUGCAGUCCAAUACGAGGACAACAAUGGGGACACAUGGGGGGGGGGGCACGAUGUCACCCAGAUGUCCCUAUGGGGUGGGACCCCCACGUCCCCAGUGCCACCUCGAUGUCCCACAUGGGAUGGCACCCAGAUGUCCCCAUUGUCACCCAGAUGUCCCCAUGGGAUGGGACCCAGAUGUUCCCAGUGUCACCCUGAUGU